rnacentral:rRNA from 1 species
CCUACGGGAGGCAGCAGUGGGGAAUAUUGGGCAAUGGGCGCAAGCCUGACCCAGCAACGCCGCGUGAAGGAAGAAGGCUUUCGGGUUGUAAACUUCUUUUAAGAGGGAAGAGCAGAAGACGGUACCUGAGGAAUAAGCCACGGCUAACUACGUGCCAGCAGCCGCGGUAAUACGUAGGUGGCAAGCGUUAUCCGGAUUUACUGGGUGUAAAGGGCGUGUAGGCGGGAAAGCAAGUCAGAUGUGAAAACCACGGGCUCAACCUGUGGCCUGCAUUUGAAACUGUUUUUCUUGAGUACUGGAGAGGCAGACGGAAUUCCUAGUGUAGCGGUGAAAUGCGUAGAUAUUAGGAGGAACACCAGUGGCGAAGGCGGUCUGCUGGACAGCAACUGACGCUGAGGCGCGAAAGCGUGGGGAGCAAACAGGAUUAGAUACCCGAGUAGUC